GCCGGGGUGGCCGAACGGUUUAGGCGACGGCCUGCAGAGCCGUUUCAAGAGGGUCCGACACGAAAAGCGGAAGUCCCUCCCCCGGCU
rnacentral:tRNA from 1 species